rnacentral:rRNA from 1 species
AAAUUGAAGAGUUUGAUCAUGGCUCAGAUUGAACGCUGGCGGCAGGCCUAACACAUGCAAGUCGAGCGGUAGCACAGAGAGCUUGCUCUCGGGUGACGAGCGGCGGACGGGUGAGUAAUGUCUGGGAAACUGCCUGAUGGAGGGGGAUAACUACUGGAAACGGUAGCUAAUACCGCAUAACGUCGCAAGACCAAAGUGGGGGACCUUCGGGCCUCAUGCCAUCAGAUGUGCCCAGAUGGGAUUAGCUAGUAGGUGGGGUAACGGCUCACCUAGGCGACGAUCCCUAGCUGGUCUGAGAGGAUGACCAGCCACACUGGAACUGAGACACGGUCCAGACUCCUACGGGAGGC